AUUUCCUAGUAAAUAAACAAAACCUCAAAUUAAGCCUAAAAUAAUAGAAAGAUUGGAUAUGAAUCAGCAAUUUCUCACCCUGACUGAUGAUACAAGCAGGUCACCUAAACAGUCUAGA